rnacentral:tRNA from 1 species
GCUUGUGGCUCAGUGGUAGAGCACUUGCCUAGUAUGCGUGAGGCACUGAGUUCAUUCCCCAGCAACACA